rnacentral:rRNA from 1 species
AUUGAACGCUGGCGGCAGGCCUAACACAUGCAAGUCGAACGGUAACAGGAAGCAGCUUGCUGCUUUGCUGACGAGUGGCGGACGGGUGAGUAAUGUCUGGGAAACUGCCCGAUGGAGGGGGAUAACUACUGGAAACGGUAGCUAAUACCGCAUAACGUCGCAAGACCAAAGAGGGGGACCUUAGGGCCUCUUUCCAUCGGAUGUGCCCAGAUGGGAUUAGCUAGUAGGUGGGGUAACGGCUCACCUAGGCGACGAUCCCUAGCUGGUCUGAGAGGAUGACCAGCCACACUGGAACUGAGACACGGUCCAGACUCCUACGGGAGGCAGCAGUGGGGAAUAUUGCACAAUGGGCGCAAGCCUGAUGCAGCCAUGCCGCGUGUAUGAAGAAGGCCUUCGGGUUGUAAAGUACUUUCAGCGGGGAGGAAGGGAGUAAAGUUAAUACCUUUGCUCAUUGACGUUACCCGCAGAAGAAGCACCGGCUAACUCCGUG